rnacentral:rRNA from 1 species
UAGGGAAUAUUGCAAAAUGGGCGAAAGCCCGACGCAGCAACGCCGCGUGGGCGAUGAAGGCCUUCGGGUCGUAAAGCCCUUUUUGAGGGGAUGAGGAAGGACAGUACCCUCAGAAUAAGCCUCGGCUAACUACGUGCCAGCAGCCGCGGUAAAACGUAGGAGGCGAGCGUUAUCCGGAUUUACUGGGCGUAAAGCGCGUGCAGGCGGAUUGGAGAGUUGGAUGUGAAAGCUCCCGGCUUAACUGGGAGAGGUCGUUCAAUACUUCCAGUCUUGAGUGCAGUAGAGGGAAGUGGAAUUCCGGGUGUAGUGGUGAAAUGCGUAGAUAUCCGGAGGAACACCAGUGGCGAAAGCGGCUUCCUGGACUGUAACUGACGCUCAGACGCGAAAGCUAGGGUAGCAAACG